CUCUCUAGAGGACGUGCUACACCACUUCCGCAACUAACUGGCUAAUCUUGUUAGUAGCAAUGCCAUUAGAAUAACAGAAACACUUAAAAGACUAUUUGAAUCUGUAACUCUUUCGGAAGGAGCUUGACAGCCAUUGGUCCCCAUCUACUUUCAUUAUAAGGAAGAGUGCAGCUUGGACAUUCUGCUAAAGUUCUCAUUCUGUGUUCUACUGAGGAAAGAAGCUCAAAUGAUUUUGGAAUGACAUGAGGGCAACAAGCCCCCUGGAUUGAACCCUAGUAAACUUAUAUACAUGGACUCAGAUCUGACACUGCUGUCUGAAUAUUUUGGAGUCCCUAUGUUUCGACC